ACUCAUCUGCCAAACAGCAAGACCCAAAUUUGAGUCCCUUGUUCUUGAUUCCCUUUUUUGUAAAUAAUAAAUAAAUAAAUAACUAAUCUUAUGCAAUUUUCAUGAUUGAAAAACAGGCCUAUGUAUCUCCUCUCCACAGUAUGAUCUGUGAAUGCGAAUAGCAUGCAGCAUGUGACACAUCAAGAUCAUGGCAAACUACAGAAUGGGUCCCAUCAACAAAUUACAGAAUCCCGGUGCCCCCCAAUUCGAUGGUGCUAAUUGCUAACUGCCAACACUUUUCUUUUCGGAUUGGGCGAAGCCUACUCUUGAGCUGGCCCACCCCCAAUUUAUGGCCCAGAUCCAUGAUUCAAUACUUAUCACGUGCAUAGACAAA
rnacentral:misc_RNA from 1 species